AGUAACACGUGGGAAACCUACCCUUUAGCGGGGGAUAACAUUCGGAAACGAGUGCUAAGACCGCAUAGACAAUGAGAUCGCAUGAUUUUAUUGGGAAAAGAGCUACGGCUUUACUAAAGGAUGGUCCCGCGGUGCAUUAGCUAGUUGGUAAGGUAACGGCUUACCAAGGCGAUGAUGCAUAGCCGACCUGAGAGGGUGAUCGGCCACAUUGGGACUGAGACACGGCCCAAACUCCUACGGGAGGCAGCAGUAGGGAAUCUUCCGCAAUGGACGAAAGUCUGACGGAGCAACGCCGCGUGUGUGAAGAAGGUCUUCGGAUCGUAAAGCACUGUUGUUAGAGAAGAAUGCUUAUCAUAGGGAAUGAUGAUGAGGUGACGGUAUCUAACCAGAAAGCCACGGCUAACUACGUGCCAGCAGCCGCGGUAAUACGUAGGUGGCAAGCGUUGUCCGGAUUUAUUGGGCGUAAAGGGAGCGCAGGUGGUGCCUUAAGUCUGAUGUGAAAGCCCACGGCUCAACCGUGGAGGGUCAUUGGAAACUGGGGCACUUGAGUGCAGAAGAGGAAAGCGGAAUUCCAUGUGUAGCGGUGAAAUGCGUAGA
rnacentral:rRNA from 1 species